rnacentral:rRNA from 1 species
CAGUCGCCGCGGUAAUACGAAGGGUGCAAGCGUUAAUCGGAAUUACUGGGCGUAAAGCGUGCGUAGGCGGUGAGUUAAGUCUGCUGUGAAAUCCCCGGGCUCAACCUGGGAAUGGCAGUGGAUACUGGCUCGCUAGAGUGUGUCAGAGGAUGGUGGGAUUCCCGGUGUAGCGGUGAAAUGCGUAGAGAUCGGGAGGAACAUCAGUGGCGAAGGCGGCCAUCUGGGGCAACACUGACGCUGAGGCACGAAAGCGUGGGGAGCAAACAGGAUAGAUACCCCCGUAGUCCCUGUCUCUUAUACA